rnacentral:misc_RNA from 1 species
GAUGAAGAACGCAGCGAAAUGCGAUACGUAAUGUGAAUUGCAGAAUUCAGUGAAUCAUCGAGUCUUUGAACGCACAUUGCGCCCCCUGGUAUUCCGGGGGGCAUGCCUGUCCGAGCGUCAUUGCUGCCCUCAAGCACGGCUUGUGUGUUGGGCCUCCGUCCUCCUCCCGGGGGACGGGCCCGAAAGGCAGCGGCGGCACCGCGUCCGGUCCUCGAGCGUAUGGGGCUUCGUCACCCGCUCUUGUAGGCCCGGCCGGCGCUUGCCGACACAUCAAUCUUUUUUUCAGGUUGACCUCGGAUCAGGUAGGGAUACCCGCUGAACUUAAGCAUAUCAAUAAGCGGAGGA